rnacentral:lncRNA from 1 species
GGCACCUAUGAAUCCCAUUAGGCAGAAUUUGGAUAUCAGUGGGUCCAAAAAAGGGCCUACCAAGCCUAAUAAGGCUAAAGGCAAGGCUCUGGUCCUCCUAGAGAUCCGCAUGGAGUCGAUAGAUGGUGGUAGAGGCCCUGGGGUCUUCUUUUUCUUAGCCACGACCUCGGGGGAGGAGGGGAGGACCUUGGUCCAACAAGAGGAGGUGGCAUCUAAUCUGGGGCCCCCAACUGAGGUGGAGCUUUCGAAACAGAGGAUUGGGCCUAUGCAUAUGGAUGUGGUGGGAGGAAGCUUGGUCCAAGACCACGAGGAUGCUGUUGUCUGACUAAGACAGGCCAUCUAGGAGGAGGGAGAGAGUCCAUCUGCGAUGGACCUAACAGUAGCUG